UAUUUAGCCUUCAAAGUUUAUUUUAUUUUUCUUAAUUUACAGUAUGGUUUCUCAUAGUUUUUUGCCCCCCAGUAUUUCUUUAAGCAUGAUACACAUUUUCCUUGUAGUCUGUGUCUAACAAUUCUAAUAACUAAAGUUUUGUGUGUGUUUCUGUUGUUCUCACUCAAGUGUCUUAUUUCCUUAAGUACCUGACUAUUUUUCACUGUGUGCCAGACAUUUGAUUUGAAAAAUUAUUUGUAAGAAUGAUUUGUUACCUAAAAUGGUACUAUUUUUCUGCAGAAAGGAUUUUUGUUUGCUUUUACCAAGAGUCUGGGAACUCUACCAGCAUGGAACCGCCUUAAUUCAAGUUCUAGGUUUGUGGUUUUCUGGAUGACCCAGAUGACUAGAACCUAUAAGUCUGUGGGAGUUCAUUUACUUAUGCUUCAUCAUAACUUUCAGAGGUAGCCAUUUGGGAUCCCAGCUGAAAGGAAGGAAAGAGGAACAGUUAUCACAGGCCCCACUUUUGGUAGACUCUGGACCUUAUAUUUUUUUCCUGAGGCCAUCAAGACUAUAACUGUUUCUUCUGGAUUAGUAAAUGUCCUUAGGGAAAAUACAGCUUUACCUAUUAAGCUUACUUCUCUGGGUUCUCAUUUUUUACUAGAUUUUAGUCAGCUAAUUAUUUAUUCUCUUAUUAGCUCUUUGAUACAUUUAAGAUGUUAUUUUCCAUAUAGCUUUUCCCAUCAUCCUCUUUGGAUGGUUUGGUCCUAAUUAACUGCCCUCCUAUAUAUAUAGUGUCUCAUGCAAGCUUCACAGCAGCUCUAUUGGGUGAGAAAGCAAAGAAACUUUUUUAUCUGAGGAAUGUGAGCCCCCUUUAAAUUAUCAGGCCCAGGGAGGCAUUGGAAUGAGACAGUAGUCACAUCCCACCCCACUCCCUUGAGCUAAAUAAUCAUCUCCUGAAGCCACUUGUUAUUUGGACUCUAGACUCACUAAUGCCCCAAGAAACUAUAAAUUAACCUAACAAUGUUGCACAUUGACAUUAUAACUCAUA
rnacentral:lncRNA from 1 species